rnacentral:rRNA from 1 species
UACGUAGGGGGCGAGCGUUGUCCGGAUUUACUGGGCGUAAAGCGCGUGUAGGCGGUCCCUUAAGUCCGAGGUGAAAGGCGGAGGCUCAACCUCCGAGCUGCGUCGGAAACUGGGGGUCUUGAAUGUCGGAGAGGGGCGUGGAAUUCCUGGUGUAGCGGUGAAAUGCGUAGAGAUCCGGAGGAAGACCGGUGGCGAAGGCGGCCUGCUGGGCAGUUACUGACACUGAGGCGCGACAGCGUGGGGGAGCAAACAGG